AGAACUGAGGGGGGCUGCUCCUAGUACGAGAGGACCGGAGUGGACGCAUCACUGGUGUUCGGGUUGUCAUGCCAAUGGCACUGCCCGGUAGCUAAAUGCGGAAGAGAUAAGUGCUGAAAGCAUCUAAGCACGAAACUUGCCCCGAGAUGAGUUCUCCCUGACUCCUUGAGAGUCCUGAAGGAACGUUGAAGACGACGACGUUGAUAGGCCGGGUGUGUAAGCGCAGCGAUGCGUUGAGCUAACCGGUACUAAUGAACCGUGAGGCUUAACCUU
rnacentral:rRNA from 1 species